rfam:Vibrio splendidus LGP32 chromosome 1
UCUAGCAGAAGAGGAGCACUGCCCAGGCAGGUGUUUUGUGGAACCGCAUUUCCAAUACAAAACAUUCAUGGGGAGCAGUGCCGAGAUAAUAAAAGAAUGCAGGACCUUUAUUAUCGGUUGAGCGGGCUGAAUCCCGUUAACUGUCGCCAUUUCUAUAUGGUGAAGAGCUUCUGAGGUU